rnacentral:rRNA from 1 species
UACGUAGGUGGCGAGCGUUGUCCGGAUUUACUGGGCGUAAAGAGCGCGCAGGCGGUCGUACAAGUCGCGUGUGAAAGCCCCCGGCUCAACUGGGGAGGGUCACGCGAUACUGUUCGACUCGAAGGCAGGAGAGGGAAGCGGAAUUCCCGGUGUAGUGGUGAAAUGCGUAGAUAUCUGGAGGAACACCGGUGGCGAAGGCGGCAUCCUGGACCGGUAUUGACGCUGAGGCGCGAAAGCUAGGGGAGCAAACGGG